rnacentral:rRNA from 1 species
UACUAGCGGUCCAAGUCGCAGCCAUUUUUAUUGGGUCUAAAACAUCCGUAGCUUGCUCGGCAAGUUUCCUGUAAAAUCUUAUGUCUUAAACAUGGGGCUGGCAGGAAGUACUACCAAGCUAGAGACUGGAAGACGUGAGAAGUACGUUCAGAGUAGCGGUAAAAUGUGUUAAUCCUGGACGGACUCACAAUAGCGAAGGCAUCUCACGAGGACAGUUCUGACAGUAAGGGAUGAAGGCUAGGGGCGCAAAACGGAUUAGAUACCCCCGUA